rnacentral:rRNA from 1 species
GACGAAGGGGGCUAGCGUUGUUCGGAAUUACUGGGCGUAAAGCGCGUGUAGGCGGUUUGCCAAGUCAGGUGUGAAAGCCUUGGGCUUAACCCAAGAAAUGCACUUGGUACUGGCAGACUAGAGGACCGGAGAGGAUAGUGGAAUUCCCAGUGUAGUGGUGAAAUACGUAGAGAUUGGGAAGAACACCAGUGGCGAAGGCGGCUAUCUGGACGGUUUCUGACGCUAAGACGCGAAAGCGUGGGGAGCAAACAGG